AGAGUUUGAUCCUGGCUCAGGAUGAACGCUGGCGGCGUGCCUAACACAUGCAAGUCGAGCGGUUCUCUUCGGAGAAGAGCGGCGGACGGGUGAGUAACGCGUGGGCAACCUGCCCUGUACACACGGAUAACAUACCGAAAGGUAUGCUAAUACGAGAUAAUAUGCUUUUAUCGCAUGGUAGAAGUAUCAAAGCUUUUGCGGUACAGGAUGGACCCGCGUCUGAUUAGCUAGUUGGUAAGGUAACGGCUUACCAAGGCGACGAUCAGUAGCCGACCUGAGAGGGUGAUCGGCCACAUUGGAACUGAGACACGGUCCAAACUCCUACGGGAGGCAGCAGUGGGGAAUAUUGCACAAUGGGCGAAAGCCUGAUGCAGCAACGCCGCGUGAGCGAUGAAGGCCUUCGGGUCGUAAAGCUCUGUCCUCAAGGAAGAUAAUGACGGUACUUGAGGAGGAAGCCCCGGCUAACUACGUGCCAGCAGCCGCGGUAAUACGUAGGGGGCUAGCGUUAUCCGGAAUUACUGGGCGUAAAGGGUGCGUAGGUGGUUUCUUAAGUCAGAGGUGAAAGGCUACGGCUCAACCGUAGUAAGCCUUUGAAACUGGGAAACUUGAGUGCAGGAGAGGAGAGUGGAAUUCCUAGUGUAGCGGUGAAAUGCGUAGAUAUUAGGAGGAACACCAGUUGCGAAGGCGGCUCUCUGGACUGUAACUGACACUGAGGCACGAAAGCGUGGGGAGCAAACAGGAUUAGAUACCCUGGUAGU
rnacentral:rRNA from 1 species